rnacentral:rRNA from 1 species
AGCAGCCGCGGUAAUUCCAGCUCCAAUAGCGUAUAUUAAAGUUGUUGCAGUUAAAAAGCUCGUAGUUGAAUUUCGGGAUCAAUAUGUUGGUCGUGCCUUGGUACGUACUAAUUUAUUGGUUUCUUCCUUCUGACGAACCAUGAUGUCAUUAAUUUGGUGUUAUGGGGAAUCAGGACUGUUACUUUGAAAAAAUUAGAGUGUUUAAAGCAGGCUCACGCUUGAAUACAUUAGCAUGGAAUAAUGAAAUAGGACGUUUGAUUCUAUUUUGUUGGUUUCUAGGAUCGACGUAAUGAUUAAUAGGGAUAGUUGGGGGCAUUAGUAUUCAAUUGUCAGAGGUGAAAUUCUUGGAUUUAUUGAAGACUAACUACUGCGAAAGCAUUUGCCAAGGAUGUUUUCAUUAAUCAAGAACGAAAGUUAGGGAUCGAAGACGAUCAGAUACCGUCGUAGUCUUAACCAUAAACUAUGCCGACUAGGGAUCGGAUGAUGUUAAUUUUUAUGACUCAUUCGGCGUCCGUUACGG